AAAAAAUAAUUUAGAGAAAAGCGUCAGGAUUUUUACGAUUUGAUUUUCUUUCGUGUGAACGAUGAACAAGUGUUUCUCACUUAAUAAUUUUCUUUUGUUUAAAUAUGAACAAAAGGAUACGAACAAUAGUACAAAAUUCCCAUUAAACAGGACGUUUAAAACCUCUAUUGAUGAAUUAUACUCAAGAUACUUUUAACUUUAUCCACUCCCGAUGCAAAAUAUAACUUGAGUAUUUCACUUUAGCAGGAUUGGGUAACAAACUGUUAAAAUUUGCUCGUGUACUGUUAAAACAUUAUACAAUUCCUACUUUGUACUCAAUAAAUGAAUGAUUACUGAUACUUUUUUAUAAUUAUCAUUUAAUAAAGUUUUUAAUAGUGCAAAAAUGCAAUAUAUAGUGCAACCUGACAAACAUCGCAAUGAUAAGAACUCGCAAUUUGAUAUGAUUUACAUAUAUCGCAAUUAUAAUUUUUGCACGUUUGUCCAUUCUUUGAAUAUCGCAAUAGUUAAUGCAGGGGAUAAUUAAAAAAAUUACAGUAAUCAAUUCUUCUUAAAUUCACAGCCUUGAAUACUUUCCCGUUAUUACAUAUCAUAUGGUGCAUUUUAACUUUAAUUUUAAACUAAAGUUAUAAAGUGACGAAAGAGGGUUUGUUGAAAGAAAGAUGAGAAAAAACAAUACAGUCGAACACAACAAGUUGUCUGCAUACCACAAGAUUUAUAUAUACUAGUAUUUGACUAAAGAAAGGAACGAAAUUGCAUUCACCGUUAAAAACUGACUAAAAGCAAUUUCUUAAAGACAUCAGCUGAAACGACGACAACACAAACGUGAAUAAAAAAAACACUUCAUAGACAUGUUAGUUUUUGAGAAAAAUGCAUGAAUAAUAUUUAUAAUUGAAAUAGCUUAUUCGAAUUAAACUUUGGUAUCAUCAGCUCAACACUCAGUAUCUCGGUUUUAACAUGAUUAAUAGCAAACUUUCUUGAAUUGCCC
rnacentral:lncRNA from 1 species